rnacentral:rRNA from 1 species
AAUGGGGGCAACCCUGACGCAGCAAUGCCGCGUGAGUGAAGAAGGCCUUCGGGUCGUAAAGCUCUUUUAUGGGGGAAGAAAAUGACUGUACCCGAAUAAGAAGGUCCGGCUAACUUCGUGCCAGCAGCCGCGGUAAUACGAAGGGACCUAGCGUAGUUCGGAAUUACUGGGCUUAAAGAGUUCGUAGGUGGUUAAAAAAGUUGGUGGUGAAAUCCCAGAGCUUAACUCUGGAACUGCCAUCAAAACUUUUUAGCUAGAGUAUGAUAGAGGAAAGCAGAAUUUCUAGUGUAGAGGUGAAAUUCGUAGAUAUUAGAAAGAAUACCAAUUGCGAAGGCAGCUUUCUGGAUCAUUACUGACGCUGAGGAACGAAAGCAUGGGUAGCGAAGAGGAUU